UACGAAGGGGGCUAGCGUUGUUCGGAAUCACUGGGCGUAAAGCGCAUGCAGGCGGAUCGAUAAGUCGGGGGUGAAAUCCCGAGGCUCAACCUCGGAACUGCCUUCGAUACUGCCGAUCUGGAGUCCGGGAGAGGUGAGUGGAACUCCGAGUGUAGAGGUGAAAUUCGUAGAUAUUCGGAAGAACACCAGUGGCGAAGGCGGCUCACUGGCCCGGUACUGACGCUGAGGUGCGAAAGCGUGGGGAGCAAACAGG
rnacentral:rRNA from 1 species